UAUACCCUAAAACUAUGCAAAAAACAAGUACGAUUUACCCCAAAUCUAUGCUAAAACGUUAAAUAAAAACCAAACACAAGUGCCAAUAAAUGUUUGUUUUAUUUAUGAACCAUCUGUCAUCAGGAAAAGGAACCAAGUGCAACAGAACAAAACAAAGAAGUGCAGGGACCGGGAGCUGUGGAGGAACCGGAACUGAGUGGAACAGAACUAAACAAAGAAGCUCAGGAACAGGGGGUUGAGAAUGUAGAGGUGCAGCAGGAGGAGGUGCCUCAGCAGGAGGGACAACAGGAUAACCCUUCCCAAACAGAGGAAGAGCUCAAUACCCCUGAGGAUAUUUUAGUUUCCCCAUACCAACCAGAUGCACAGCUAAUUGAGCCACAAACUCUGCCCAACC